AUUGCUUUUGUAAGCCAUAUGCUAAAAAUCCUCUAAUAAAAGUCAAUCUGUUCUUAUCAGUUUGAUAUCUGAUAUGUUUUCUCGUUGAGAACUAUAUAUUAAAUGGAUUUGGGGGGCUGGGAGUUGAAAUAGGAGCUUGCUUCAUCCACUCCACGCAUCAACCUGUUAUUGCACUAUUUCCAGGAAUGGUGCAUCUCCC